rnacentral:rRNA from 1 species
UACGAAGGGUGCGAGCGUUACUCGGAAUCACUGGGCGUAAAGAGCGUGUAGGCGGGUUAUUAAGUCAGAUGUGAAAGCCAAUGGCUCAACCAUUGAACUGCAUUUGAAACUGAUAACCUAGAGUAUGGGAGAGGUAGAUGGAAUUUCUGGUGUAGGGGUAAAAUCCGUAGAGAUCAGAAGGAAUACCGAUUGCGAAGGCGAUCUACUGGAACAUUACUGACGCUGAGACGCGAAAGCGUGGGGAGCAAACAGG